GGGAUAUUUCAUGGUGACCAGUUUUUAUUGGUGGAGGAAGUCAGAGUGCCCAGAGAAAACAACUGACCUUUGAUAAUGAAACUGGCAACCCUAUAGUCAAUUAAGAUUGGAGUCUAGUGCACCCACCCGAGCAGGUUUGAACUCACAAGCUCAGUGUUGAAUAGCUAGUGAUUACAGUAGUAACCACUCUGCCACCGAGGCCCCUACAGGUGUAAUACCACCAUUGAUUUUUCCCUAUUAGUCUUUGUUAAAUUGACAUUUUUAAAAAAAUUGUACAGUAUUUACCUUCAUUUCAACUUAAGAAAUACUUUGCAUGUAUAAAGUUUAAUCCUUUCCAGUGCUACAGUAAAAAUUUCACACUACAUUUCAUUGCAUAUAAGAAAGUAACCAUCACCGGAAG
rnacentral:lncRNA from 1 species